rnacentral:lncRNA from 1 species
UCCUACGAAUCAAGAGGGCUUGAUAUUAGAUACGCUGAGCACCUUACUUCAUCCUCAAGGUAGCUCGUUUUCUUGUCCGAGCAAAUUGGGGAAAAACUGGCAACCAGCUCCGAGCCAUUCCUUUCCCUUACAUCACCACACAUCAGGGUGAGUUUCCACACGCAGACUUACAAAUCGAUAGGAAAAGGAAAAAAACCUAGUACAGUUUCAGAAACACUAAAAUUAUUAGCUCCAACGCAAUCAGCAAAGUGCAGAUUGAUAGGAAACAUGAUGAUCAUCAUUCAUGGGUCGGGACACUGGCAAGUCUUGACGCAAUCGUCUCUGUGCUUGUAGCACGGGCCACCCCAGCAAGGACCAUCGCAGCACCACUUGAAUGCAUUUGGCGGAAAUAUGGCGUAGCGACAACGAUAGCUCACAUCCGUUAUGUUGAUCCCCAUCUUGUCGAUGCUCCGUCCUAAAGAGAAAGAAAAUUGAAGUGGUUACAAUAUAUUCUCCCAAUAACAAGAUAAGUAGAUUUAUUCUGUAUAUGAAGUCGUAAUAAAGUCUACAUGGAAAACCACCCUGGAUCUGAUCUUUCCAUGGAGUUGAUGAAGCAACUUUGAACAUACCGAUGAACACUUGAAAUAACAAACUUUAAUUGUUAAUUUUACCGUAUAUCGGCGGAGGAGUGGCCAAGCAAAUCACAAGAACCAACAAAAGUAGUAGGAGAGCUUGGCCAUUGUGCUUGAUGUGCUUCGCCAUGGUGUGAGAGAUUCACUGGGUCUUGGUUAUGUAUCCUUUACUUGCUGUUCACUGCAGUGUAUGCAGAGCCUCACACAUAGCUGCACAUUGCACAUACAGAAGUGGUCAUGAUCAACUUUAAUUCAGAGCCUGCACAUUGAACAUAUAUUUUUUUGUAAGAGAAAAUAAGCUUCCUCCUCUCUCAAGAUACAUAUUUCUCUUGUUUCAUAACAGUAGUUGUUAUAAGCUACAAAACUGCUAUCUAAAUCGAUUAGAAGUAUAAUUCAGAGACUUGUCUACUGGGAUUUUGUAAGCUACAAGUGAUGUCUAAGUCAAGAAUUUGGGCUUCAACAGCAGCUGAAAGAGUCACUUCAGUGCUGCAGUCUCAGAAGAUCUGAGUUGAAGAAACUUACUGUAGUUGUUAUGAAUCAAAAGAGACAAAAUCAUGUUAUCUGAAUAUCUGAUGCUCAAAUAAACAAUGUGGAUGAUCCUUGAUUUAUUCAUUAGAAAAUUAGCUGGCCGCUUCCCCUAAUUGAACUUCCCAAGAAAGCGAUCAAUAUAAGAGAAGGGUGUCACAGCAUUUGCUUAGCACGGGAAGCUCCAUACUGUGAACAGCAUUUGCUUCAGAAGGGAGAGAUGACAAUGCUCUACCUUCUAGCCGAGGUGGACAUGCUCGGGGCGACGACUGCAGAGGAGAUCGGGCGGCAACCAGUAGCGACCCGAACCGGCGGCCGGCAGGCAGCUGGAAUACGAGGUAGGCGGCGAAGCUAGAAGAUGAGGUCGACGGCGCUAGGGUUGGGCAGGAGCUGGACGACGAGGCCGGUGGUGGAGCUUGAAGAUCCGAUCGAUAGAGCUCGAUGUUGGGCAGGAGCAGGAGGAAGGAGCUCGGGUUGAGAAGCUGCUUACGCCGGCGGUGUUAGGUCGAGCUGGAGCUGGAGGACGGCGAGGGGAUCGGGGCGGCCAGUGGGGAUGGGGCGCCGGGAGACGAGGUGGGCGGCGCUCAGGUGCGCUUUCUGGAGCGUGGGAUGGGGAACGGGCGGCGCACGGGCUGAGCUUGGUGGUGGCGCGGGGUUGGCAACGGCCGGCGGGAUGAGGGGAGUGAGAGUGGCUGGUGGUGGCACUCGGUGGUCCAGUGUGAGAGCGUCUCCAACAGUCGAUGAAAAAAUUGGUGCCAGAGGCUGCUUAAACAUCACAAAAGAUUACAUUUCCACCACUAAUUAUGUAUGCGUAACAAGGUCUAAAACAAGGUGCUGGCAGGUCUUGAUACAGG